GACGAACGCUGGCGGCGUGCUUAACACAUGCAAGUCGAACGGAAAGGCUCCAGCUUGCUGGCGUACUCGAGUGGCGAACGGGUGAGUAACACGUGGGUAAUCUGCCCUGCACUCUGGGAUAAGCCUGGGAAACUGGGUCUAAUACUGGAUAUGACCUUUCUCCUUAUGGGGUUUGGUGGAAAGUUUUUCGGUGUAGGAUGAGCCCGCGGCCUAUCAGCUUGUUGGUGGGGUGAUGGCCUACCAAGGCGACGACGGGUAGCCGGCCUGAGAGGGUGAUCGGCCACAUUGGGACUGAGAUACGGCCCAGACUCCUACGGGAGGCAGCAGUGGGGAAUAUUGCACAAUGGGCGGAAGCCUGAUGCAGCGACGCCGCGUGAGGGAUGACGGCCUUCGGGUUGUAAACCUCUUUCAGCAGGGACGAAGCGUAAGUGACGGUACCUGCAGAAGAAGCACCGGCUAACUAGGUG
rnacentral:rRNA from 1 species